rnacentral:rRNA from 1 species
UACGUAGGGCGCAAGCGUUAUCCGGAAUUAUUGGGCGUAAAGAGCGUGUAGGCGGCCCGGUAAGUCCGCUGUGAAAGUCGGGGGCUCAACCCUCGAAUGCCGGUGGAUACUGUCGGGCUAGAGUGCGGAAGAGGCGAGUGGAAUUCCUGGUGUAGCGGUGAAAUGCGCAGAUAUCAGGAGGAACACCUGCGGUGUAGACGGCUUACUGGACCAUAACUGACGCUGAGGCACGAAAGCGUGGGUAGCAAACAGG